rnacentral:lncRNA from 8 species
UGGUUCCUGUCUGCGAGUGGAGGUGGAGGAGAUGGUUCUGAAGGAUGGCAGUCGGCUGAAGCCCCUCUCAGUCAGCCUGCCCCACAACGGCACCGUCCCUCCUCAGCCCCAGCCCCAGCCCCAGCCCCAGACCCACACAGAGCCCCAGACCCACACAGAUCCCCAGACCCACACAGAGCCCCAGACCCCCAUCACCUGCACAGUGACCUUCUGCUCCCCUCAGCCCCUGGACCUCAACUCACACAUCACAUUCUUGGACCACCUCAACAACAGGUUCAGGGUGGAGGUCUGUGCUACAGCAGAUAAUAGUUUGUUGACAGUGUGGCCCUACCUGGCUUUGCACCGCUCUGAGCAGCAGAUAGUCCUCAAGAGUGGUUGUCUGAGCGGCUGCAGUGGCGAAUCAGGGCCCUCUCAGGUGACAGGGAAGGCGGUGCUUCAGCCAUGCUACUCCCCCAGCCCUCUCUCUCGCUACACUUCCUCCUCCUCCACCUUCGCUUUCCUCUCCUCCACCAGUAAUCACUCCAUCUCUGGUGAGACACACCUCUACAACUACACUGCUACACACCAGACCUGGUCAAAUACAUAUGUGAAGUGUGUUGAAGGACUGGAGUGGGUUUUAACUUGGUUUUCCCCGUACCAAGGUACCACUACCACAAUCCCAAAUAAUAACCCCAAAGUGCCCAUUCCAAGCUGA